rnacentral:rRNA from 1 species
GACGAACGCUGGCGGCGUGCCUAAUACAUGCAAGUAGAACGCUGAAGAGAGGAGCUUGCUCUUCUUGGAUGAGUUGCGAACGGGUGAGUAACGCGUAGGUAACCUGCCUUGUAGCGGGGGAUAACUAUUGGAAACGAUAGCUAAUACCGCAUAACAAUGGAUGACACAUGUCAUUUAUUUGAAAGGGGCAAUUGCUCCACUACAAGAUGGACCUGCGUUGUAUUAGCUAGUAGGUGAGGUAACGGCUCACCUAGGCGACGAUACAUAGCCGACCUGAGAGGGUGAUCGGCCACACUGGGACUGAGACACGGCCCAGACUCCUACGGGAGGCAGCAGUAGGGAAUCUUCGGCAAUGGGGGCAACCCUGACCGAGCAACGCCGCGUGAGUGAAGAAGGUUUUCGGAUCGUAAAGCUCUGUUGUAAGUCAAGAACGAGUGUGAGAGUGGAAAGUUCACACUGUGACGGUAGCUUACCAGAAAGGGACGGCUAACUACGUGCCAGCAGCCGCGGUAAUACGUAGGUCCCGAGCGUUGUCCGGAUUUAUUGGGCGUAAAGCGAGCGCAGGCGGUUUGAUAAGUCUGAAGUUAAAGGCUGUGGCUCAACCAUAGUUCGCUUUGGAAACUGUCAAACUUGAGUGCAGAAGGGGAGAGUGGAAUUCCAUGUGUAGCGGUGAAAUGCGUAGAUAUAUGGAGGAACACCGGUGGCGAAAGCGGCUCUCUGGUCUGUAACUGACGCUGAGGCUCGAAAGCGUGGGGAGCGAACAGGAUUAGAUACCCUGGUAGUCCACGCCGUAAACGAUGAGUGCUAGGUGUUGGAUCCUUUCCGGGAUUCAGUGCCGCAGCUACGCAUAAGCACUCCGCUGGGGAGUACGA